GAGCUGAGAGGAUGACACUCAAGUUGGGGAAGUUUUCUGGGUUUUUCUUCAUUCACACUCACAAUGCCAUGCCAUCCAACGGGAGGGGAGGCAACACAUUUAUACACAGCUGCAGGGCAGCCAACACUGAGGCAUAUUCUACUCCUAGUCUAAGAUGCCAAAUGAAAGGACUACUCCUAGUCUAAGAUGCCAAAUGAAAGGACUAACUGCUGUCCUAUCUAGAUGCUAAAGCAGUCCAAGAUGCUGUCCUCUAGGGCAGCAAUGGUGCUAGUGCAUGCUGCAGAAAAAUGAGAUGCUGCAGCCCCACAUGCUGCAGCCCCACACAGCCCCACAAAGACCACAAGUACAGAGACUUAUUCCCUUCAGAUUGACACGUUAUUAGAAGAAUUUGAAGAUUAAGAAGAUCAAGUCAUGAGUACAAAGAGGAGAAAGAAGGCCCAAAGAAUGAAAGAAAGAUAGGCUUUAGAAGUUAUUCUAAAAAUUUAGAACUAUUGUAUGAUAUUGCCACUUUGUCUAGUUUUUUAAUUUUUAUAAGCGUACUUGUAUCUACUUGACAAUAUUGGACCUCUUGUUUGUUGAAUUAUGAAGCUUCCUAUUUUAAGAUACCUGCAGGGCAUGGAUCAUUUUUCCCCA